CGCGCCAAAAGACUUCAACGCCGACUUUGACUUCGCGGAGCGAGACGCUCCGAGCCGGGGGGAGGACUGGGCCAUGGAGGACGUCAUGAAGCAGCUCAAGAACAAGAGAACCGCAACCACUCUGGACCAGAAAAUAGACAAAAUCAGAAAGAAGAGGAAAGCGGAGGAGAAAACGCCUGAG